rnacentral:lncRNA from 1 species
ACACGCAUCGAAGGGUGAGUGACCCCACAGCGACCCCAAAGAGACCCCAAAACGACCCCAAAGUGACCCCACAGCGACCCCACAGCAACCCCACAGUGACCCCAAAGCGACCCCACAGCGACCCCAAAAGAACCCCAAAGUGACCCCAAAGUGCCAUCAGUGGGACCCCAGAGACCCCAAUGGGACCCCAAUGGGACCCCAAAGUGACCCCAAAGUGCCAUCAUCAGUGGGACCCCAAAGAGACCCCAAUGGGACUCCAAAGAGACCCCAAAGGGACCCCAAAGCGACCCCAAAGGGACCCCAUGCGACCCCAAAGGGACCCCAUGUGACCCCAAAGCGACCCCAAAGGGACCCCAAUGUGACCCCAAAGCGCUCCCAAAGGGACCCCAAAGUGCCAUCAGUGGGACCCCAAAGGGACCCCAAAGUGACCCCAAAGUGCCAUCAAUGUGACCCCAAAGAGACCCCAAUGGGACCCCAAAGAGACCCCAAUGGGACCCCAAAGCGCUCCCAAAGGGACCCCAAAGGGACCCCAAAGCCCCCCCUUUCCCCAUACCCCCCCCGAC